rnacentral:rRNA from 1 species
UACAGAGGUCUCAAGCGUUGUUCGGAUUCAUUGGGCGUAAAGGGUGCGUAGGUGGCGCCGUAAGUCGGGUGUGAAAUUUCGGAGCUUAACUCCGAAACUGCAUUCGAUACUGCGGUGCUUGAGGACUGGAGAGGAGACUGGAAUUCAUGGUGUAGCAGUGAAAUGCGUAGAGAUCAUGAGGAAGACCAGUGGCGAAGGCGGGGUCUCUGGACAGUUCCUGACACUGAGGCACGAAGGCCAGGGGAGCAAAACGGG